GCUCAGGACGAACGCUGGCGGCGUGCCUAAUACAUGCAAGUCGAGCGGACAGAUGGGAGCUUGCUCCCUGAUGUUAGCGGCGGACGGGUGAGUAACACGUGGGUAACCUGCCUGUAAGACUGGGAUAACUCCGGGAAACCGGGGCUAAUACCGGAUGCUUGUUUGAACCGCAUGGUUCAAACAUAAAAGGUGGCUUCGGCUACCACUUACAGAUGGACCCGCGGCGCAUUAGCUAGUUGGUGAGGUAAUGGCUCACCAAGGCGACGAUGCGUAGCCGACCUGAGAGGGUGAUCGGCCACACUGGGACUGAGACACGGCCCAGACUCCUACGGGAGGCAGCAGUAGGGAAUCUUCCGCAAUGGACGAAAGUCUGACGGAGCAACGCCGCGUGAGUGAUGAAGGUUUUCGGAUCGUAAAGCUCUGUUGUUAGGGAAGAACAAGUACCGUUCGAAUAGGGCGGUACCUUGACGGUACCUAACCAGAAAGCCACGGCUAACUACGUGCCAGCAGCCGCGGUAAUACGUAGGUGGCAAGCGUUGUCCGGAAUUAUUGGGCGUAAAGGGCUCGCAGGCGGUUUCUUAAGUCUGAUGUGAAAGCCCCCGGCUCAACCGGGGAGGGUCAUUGGAAACUGGGGAACUUGAGUGCAGAAGAGGAGAGUGGAAUUCCACGUGUAGCGGUGAAAUGCGUAGAGAUGUGGAGGAACACCAGUGGCGAAGGCGACUCUCUGGUCUGUAACUGACGCUGAGGAGCGAAAGCGUGGGGAGCGAACAGGAUUAGAUACCCUGGUAGUCCACGCCGUAAACGAUGAGUGCUAAGUGUUAGGGGGUUUCCGCCCCUUAGUGCUGCAGCUAACGCAUAA
rnacentral:rRNA from 1 species